GACGAACGCUGGCGGCGUGCUUAACACAUGCAAGUCGAACGGUAAGGCCCUUCGGGGUACACGAGUGGCGAACGGGUGAGUAACACGUGGGUGAUCUGCCCUGCACUUCGGGAUAAGCCUGGGAAACUGGGUCUAAUACCGGAUAGGACUCCGAAUCGCAUGGUUUGGGGUGGAAAGCUUUUGCGGUGUGGGAUGGGCCCGCGGCCUAUCAGCUUGUUGGUGGGGUGAUGGCCUACCAAGGCGACGACGGGUAGCCGGCCUGAGAGGGUGUCCGGCCACACUGGGACUGAGAUACGGCCCAGACUCCUACGGGAGGCAGCAGUGGGGAAUAUUGCACAAUGGGCGCAAGCCUGAUGCAGCGACGCCGCGUGAGGGAUGACGGCCUUCGGGUUGUAAACCUCUUUCAAUAGGGACGAAGCGUAAGUGACGGUACCUAUAGAAGAAGCACCGGCCAACUACGUG
rnacentral:rRNA from 1 species